GCGGACGGGUGAGUAACACGUGGAUAACCUACCUAUAAGACUGGGAUAACUUCGGGAAACCGGAGCUAAUACCGGAUAACACGUUGAACCGCAUGGUUCAACAGUGAAAGACGGUCUUGCUGUCACUUAUAGAUGGAUCCGCGCCGCAUUAGCUAGUUGGUAAGGUAACGGCUUACCAAGGCAACGAUGCGUAGCCGACCUGAGAGGGUGAUCGGCCACACUGGAACUGAGACACGGUCCAG
rnacentral:rRNA from 1 species